AUCAGUCAAAACGCAAAUUUUUUUGUCAAAUUUGGCAGUUUAAGGUCACUGAUUACAAAUUUAACAUUAUUUUUUUAAAGCAAGAUUCCGGAUCCAAUAUGGCCGAAAUAAAGUUGAAAAUUUUAUUUUAAAUGUAUAUUUGUUUAAAAUUUUAUAUUAUAAGGGAAAAAACAAAGUUCUUACGACCACAUACCAGAGAUUAACGAGCCUCGCCUGAACUAAGAAGAAGAAAAGAAGAAGCAAAAUAGUAUAAAUACGAUAUUAUGUGAGUACAAGAAAGUCCGGAUGCUAUGCGCACAUGACAUGUAAUAUUAGUUGACAGAAACGAAUCUUCAGAUUAGUUAAUGACCAAACAGUAAAACGUUACAUUCGCUUUUUUAUCCGAUCGCAAAAGUCAACUUAAAGCGUAAGCCUUUUUGAUGUACGAGGAAAGCUUAAGUAUCAAAUUUGCUUCAUUAUCAGGAUUGUAAAAAUGGAAAAAAGACGCAUCGCGUCGUUUUGAGCCUCGCUUCGGUCAGAACUCUCGAAAAACUUCAAUCCGCACCUGGGCAAAGAACAAAAGAGGAUUGAAAACAAUAUUAUGCAAAUAUUUCGAGCGUAGAAAAUAAAAAGUGGCAGUUUACAUUCCCCGACUUUUUAAAAAGUUGUUGACUAAUUCAUGGAGACUUUAUUUUGAACUGCUCAACUCGAUGAG
rnacentral:lncRNA from 1 species